GACGAACGCUGGCGGCGUGCCUAACACAUGCAAGUCGAACGGAAAGGCCCUGCUUUUGUGGGGUGCUCGAGUGGCGAACGGGUGAGUAACACGUGAGUAACCUGCCCUUGACUUUGGGAUAACUUCAGGAAACUGGGGCUAAUACCGGAUAGGAGCUCCUGCUGCAUGGUGGGGGUUGGAAAGUUUCGGCGGUUGGGGAUGGACUCGCGGCUUAUCAGCUUGUUGGUGGGGUAGUGGCUUACCAAGGCUUUGACGGGUAGCCGGCCUGGGAGGGUGGCCGGCCACAUUGGGACUGAGGGACGGCCCAGACUCCUACGGGAGGCAGCAGUGGGGAGUAUUGCACAGUGGGCGGGAGCCUGAUGCGGCGGCGCCGCGUGCGGGAUGACGGCCUUCUGGUUGUGAACCGCUUUCGCCUGAGACGAAGCGUGAGUGACGGUAAUGGGUAAAGAAGCACCGGCUAACUACGUG
rnacentral:rRNA from 1 species